GCAGUUGUGGCUCAGUGGCAGGGCCUCGGCUUGACGUGCAGGAUACCACCGGUUCGAUCCCCGGGCUCUGCA
rnacentral:tRNA from 1 species